AGAGUUUGAUCCUGGCUCAGGAUGAACGCUGGCGGCGUGCUUAACACAUGCAAGUCGAACGAACCUUCGGGUUAGUGGCGGACGGGUGAGUAACGCGUGAGAAUCUGCCCUCAGGAGGGGGACAACAGCUGGAAACGGCUGCUAAUACCCCAUAUGCCGCGAGGUGAAAUGAAUUUCGCCUGAGGAUGAGCUCGCGUCUGAUUAGCUAGUUGGUGUAGGUAAUGGCUCACCAAGGCAUCGAUCAGUAGCUGGUCUGAGAGGAUGAUCAGCCACACUGGGGCUGAGACACGGCCCAGACUCCUACGGGAGGCAGCAGUGGGGAAUUUUCCGCAAUGGGCGAAAGCCUGACGGAGCAACGCCGCGUGAGGGAUGAAGGCCUCUGGGCUGUAAACCUCUUUUAUCAAGGAAGAAAAUCUGACGGUACUUGAUGAAUAAGCCACGGCUAAUUCCGUGCCAGCAGCCGCGGUAAUACGGGAGUGGCAAGCGUUAUCCGGAAUUAUUGGGCGUAAAGCGUCCGCAGGCGGCCCUUCAAGUCUGCUGUUAAAAAGUGGAGCUUAACUCCAUCAUGGCAGUGGAAACUGUUGGGCUUGAGUGUGGUAGGGGCAGAGGGAAUUCCCGGUGUAGCGGUGAAAUGCGUAGAUAUCGGGAAGAACACCAGUGGCGAAGGCGCUCUGCUGGGCCAUCACUGACGCUCAUGGACGAAAGCCAGGGGAGCGAAAGGGAUUAGAUACCCCUGUAGUCCUGGCCGUAAACGAUGAACACUAGGUGUCGGGGGAAUCGACCCCCUCGGUGUCGUAGCCAACGCGUUAAGUGUUCCGCCUGGGGAGUACGCACGCAAGUGUGAAACUCAAAGGAAUUGACGGGGGCCCGCACAAGCGGUGGAGUAUGUGGUUUAAUUCGAUGCAACGCGAAGAACCUUACCAGGGUUUGACAUCCUGCGAAUCUCUUGGAAACAGGAGAGUGCCUUCGGGAACGCAGUGACAGGUGGUGCAUGGCUGUCGUCAACUCGUGUCGUGAGAUGUUGGGUUAAGUCCCGCAACGAGCGCAACCCACGUCUUUAGUUGCCAGCAUUUAGUUGGGCACUCUAGAGAGACUGCCGGUGAUAAACCGGAGGAAGGUGUGGAUGACGUCAAGUCAUCAUGCCCCUUACAUCCUGGGCUACACACGUACUACAAUGCUACGGACAAAGGGCAGCAAGUUCGCGAGGACAAGCAAAUCCCAUAAACCGUGGCUCAGUUCAGAUCGUAGGCUGCAACUCGCCUACGUGAAGGCGGAAUCGCUAGUAAUCGCAGGUCAGCAUACUGCGGUGAAUACGUUCCCGGGCCUUGUACACACCGCCCGUCACACCAUGGAAGUUGGCCACGCCCGAAGCCGUUACUCCAACCCUUGUGGAGGAGGACGUCGAAGGUGGGGCUGAUGACUGGGGUGAAGUCGUAACAAGGUAACC
rnacentral:rRNA from 1 species